rnacentral:lncRNA from 1 species
UCUUGGUCUUCGGCUCCGGCGGCCGCACCUUCUCGACGGCCACCCUGAGCACCCCGUCCUGGCACGCCGCGGUCACCGUCUCCACAUUAGCGUUCUCCGGCAGCGCGAACCUCCUCAGGAACUUCCCGGUCCUCCUCUCCAUGCUCAGGUACUUGGCCCCUUCCUCUUUCUCCCUCUUCCUCUCCCCGCUCACGACGAGCACGUUGUCGUUCUCUAUCUGCACCUUGAUCUCGCUGGCCCUUAUCCUGGGCAUGUCCACGACGAACACGUAGGAGACCGGGUACUCCACGACGUCCGCAGGGGUCGCCGCCAUGGCCUUUGCAUCGCGGACGUAGGCGCGCGAGGGGUUGCUCCUCUCUCGGGCUCCUCGGGGAAGUCGAGCAUGUCUUCGAGGAUCCCAAAGAGGCGCGAAUCGAAGCCGAGAUUACGCAGAUCCAUCGGGCUGUUCGCUUUUCCUCGUCUUGAAGAGGGAGUGUGCUUGAUUGUGGGAUGCAGAGGCUGGAGCUCUAGUUAACUGGGGUUUUAUAGAGCAGUUUGAAGGAG